rnacentral:lncRNA from 1 species
AUAUAAUUACAAUACAUGUAUCAAGCAGCAAUAUUAUAAUGAUGAGUACUAUUACUACUACUGAGUAUAUCACACUACAUACUACCAGUUCAGUAUUAAUUGUAUCAACCGAAACACAAUCAGCAGUUGAAAGUUGUUCUUCAUGUAUUACCACAACAAUGUCACAAUCAACAGAUGUAGGAUCCAUUAGUGUUGCUAUUGCUGUACCUAUCACUGGUC